UUGCUUUUGAUUCUUUCCCUUGUUCUACAUCACCACUAUUACUACUACUUCAAUGAGAGUCCAAAGCACUUCAGUAACAUCUAAAACUAUAUUUAAGGGGCAUGAGGGCUCUUUUUAUCGGGUUGGGGAGGACUAAGUAGAAGAUCAAAUUAGUCGGGGAAAAUCACUCGCUCUGAGGUCAGUAUAGCAUCUCAUGGAUUAA
rnacentral:misc_RNA from 1 species